AACGUAGGUGGCAAGCGUUGUCCGGAAUUACUGGGUGUAAAGCGCGUGUAGGCGGGAGGCCAAGUCUGCUGUGAAAUCGCCCGGCUCAACUGGGCGGGGUCGGUGGAAACUGGUCACCUGGAGGACGGUAGAGGCGGGUGGAAUUCCCGGUGUAGUGGUGAAAUGCGUAGAGAUCGGGAGGAACACCAGUGGCGAAGGCGGCUCGCUGGGCCGGACCUGACGCUGAGACGCGAAGGCGUGGGGAGCGAACGGG
rnacentral:rRNA from 1 species